rnacentral:rRNA from 1 species
UACGGAGGAUGCAAGCGUUAUCCGGAAUCAUUGGGCGUAAAGCGUCCGUAGGUGGCUUUUCAAGUCUGCCGUCAAAGACCGGGGCUUAACCCCAGAAAGGCGGUGGAAACUGAAUAGCUAGAGUGCAGUAGGGGUAGAGGGAAUUCCCGGUGUAGCGGUGAAAUGCGUAGAGAUCGGGAAGAACACCCGUGGCGAAAGCGCUCUACUGGACUGCAACUGACACUCAGGGACGAAAGCUAGGGGAGCGAAUGGG